rnacentral:misc_RNA from 1 species
AGUCGUAACAAGGUUUCCGUAGGUGAACCUGCGGAAGGAUCAUUACUGAGUGCGGGCCCUCUGGGUCCAACCUCCCACCCGUGUUUAUCGUACCUUGUUGCUUCGGCGGGCCCGCCGUCAGGCCGCCGGGGGGCAUCCGCCCCCGGGCCCGCGCCCGCCGAAGACACCAUUGAACGCUGUCUGAAGGUUGCAGUCUGAGUUUGAUUAUUAAAUCGUUAAAACUUUCAACAACGGAUCUCUUGGUUCCGGCAUCGAUGAAGAACGCAGCGAAAUGCGAUAAUUAAUGUGAAUUGCAGAAUUCAGUGAAUCAUCGAGUCUUUGAACGCACAUUGCGCCCCCUGGUAUUCCGGGGGGCAUGCCUGUCCGAGCGUCAUUGCUGCCCUCAAGCCCGGCUUGUGUGUUGGGUCGCCGUCCUCCCCGGGGGACGGGCCCGAAAGGCAGCGGCGGCACCGCGUCUGGUCCUCGAGCGUAUGGGGCUUCGUCACCCGCUUUGUAGGCCAGGCCGGCGCCUGCCGUCUUCUGUGACAACCAAUCUUUCCAGGUUGACCUCGGAUCAGGUAGGGAUACCCCGCUGAACCUAAGCAUAUCAAUAAGCGGAGGA